rnacentral:lncRNA from 1 species
ACUAAGUAUAAACUUUGACAAUCGAUUGUUGGUCAUAGACAAUCGAUUGUUAAACCCAAUUUUCACAAGACGAGUUUAAAAAUUAUUUUGACAAAUAUGCAACUUAUUUCUUUGAAACCUAGUGAUGCAUGAUUUUAUGAAAAUCAUUUUGGGUGAGAGCCAAUAUUAGAAAUAAGUCGUUGAGUCAAGAUUACAAAUUAAGACCUACUCAACAGUUGAUUGCAUCUUCUAUUCUUGAACGCGUACUAUCCAUCUUGUACUUGGUCUGUUAUUGUUCUAUCACUGAUGCUUGUC